rnacentral:rRNA from 1 species
UAUCUCUGUAGAGUCUGCAUAUCAAUAAGCGGAGGAAAAGAAACUAACUAGGAUUCCCUCAGUAACGGCGAGUGAAGCGGGAAGAGCUCAAAUUUGAAAUCUUCAAGGUUCUACCUUGACGAAUUGUAGUUUAAAGAAGUGUUUUCUGUUGGAUGUUUUGGUAAAAGUUCUUUGGAAUAGGACAUCAUAGAGGGUGAGAAUCCCGUAUUUGACCAUUAUUUCCAGCUUUGUGAUACACUUUCAAAGAGUCGGAUUGUUUGGGAAUGCAGGUCCAAAAUGGGUGGUAAAUUUCAUCUAAAGCUAAAUACUGGCGAGAGACCGAUAGCGAACAAGUACCGUGAGGGAAAGAUGAAAAGAACUUUGAAAAGAGAGUUAAACAGUACGUGAAAUUGUCAAAAGGGAAGCGUUUGACACCAGUGUUGUUUUCUCGAAAAUCAAUUAAAAAAGGCAGGAUUUUGUGUUGUAUUGACUUUAUCAGCUUUCUGCACUCUUUUCUUGUCUUUUUUAAUGCACUUUUCGUUUAACAAGUCAACAUCAAUUUCUUUUGUUGUAAAAGGGUCAUUGGAAGGUGGCUUUCUUUUCGGAGAAAGUGUUUAUAGCCUUUGGCCUCUGCAAUCGGAGAGAUUGAGGUCUGCAGCGUAGAUCCUUCGGGGUUAGAUACAUUUGUGCUAAGUUAUAGCCUUUCAUAGACAACUUGUUGACUAUGAUCAGUCAUGUAGCUUACUCGCUUAUGCUAUUUUACCUACGCUUAGGAUGUUGAAGUCAUCGUAUCGCGC